ACGGAUUAGUAGUAGCAGGACGGUCGCAGCGGACGGAGCUCGUCGGCGGCCGUAGGUGCGGGGAAGAACCCGAUCCCGAUGGUCGAGGGGGCCCGAGCUCGAUCUUGUCGAUGGGGAGGACGCAGUCGACGACGUUGGUGUAGACGGACAAGUUGGAGAGGCAUGGGGGAGACGGUCGCCGUGGUGGUGGCCAACGACUGCGACGUAGGCGCUCGGGUGAGCCAAGAGAACGACGAGGGAGAGAGAGAAGAUGGAUCUGGGAGGGAGGGCGCCGAGGAGGAGUGAGGCGAGUGGGAAGAAAAUAUCUGGGGGGAGGGGCGCCUCGGUGAAGGCCUUAUCCUCCCACGGCAUGGCCGGCGAGGUGAUUCGACGGCGACGCGAUCCUGUUCGGGCACGGUCGUGAAUAGAAGAAGACGACCGGGGGUUAGGUGGGCUGACUUGGGUGAGGCCCAGUGGGGGCACGUGCUCUCUCUUCCUUUUCUUCUUCUCGGUUUUCUUUUUAUUAUUCUGUUUUCUUUUAACAGCCUCCAUUUGCAUUUAAAUAAGCCACCAAAUGACUUUGCAAAAAUGUGGAGUUGGACAAAACAAAUACUAGGAAAUAUUGAGCACUGCCACAAAAAGCUUGACAACUAAAAAAUUUAGUUUAAUAUUUUAUAAUUUAUAAAAGGCAUUUAAUUAUUGUUUUUAGCCACUAAUAUAUAUACUUGGGAGCAAUUAAAGACUUUAAAACAAUGUUGGAUCACCACCAUAAAUAAUGAUGGAAUAUUUGCAACACUUUGAACAUUUUAUUUUGCAUGUUUGAGAAAUUUGAAUUUUGCACUUUAGUUUGAACUUGAAUUUGGAUUGCGAUUUUUAUCAACCGCGGAUUAGUAAUAGUAAAGUGAUGACAUGGCACCAUUAACGAGGAUUUACUGUAGUUUAAUUAUCCGGGCGUCACAAUUCUCCUCCACUACAAGAAAUCUCGUCCCGAGAUUUAGGAGGGGAGUACGGGGGAAAGACUAGGUUGCGAAAUUCUAAUGGGUCUUCUCGGUCUUUGUUGCACUUCCCGAAGUAGUUGAUCCUUUCCGUUGAUGUCUUCAUUCCUAUGCUUCAGUCAUCAUGAUGAAGCCGGCAUCCCUUCUUCAGGAUCGCCAUCGUAUGUACGAAAAUUAUAAGGGGUAGCUUCGAAAGGACCGACCUCUACAAGGUUGCUUAUCUGGUAGAUGACAUCAGGGAAAGUGGGGGAAAGUAACUCUCGAAUUGAAACUUAAGAAAUUUUCAAGAGCAAAAUAAGAAGGGGCAAAAUAGAAGUUUCAAGCACAUAGGCAAUCGUUCAUUGCCCAAAACGAAGUGUUAAAGGGGUUCAGAGCAAUGGGAAUAAGUAUUGCGUCUGAUGCCAGAAUUGAUGAUCUCUCGGAAGGUGGCUCAUGAAUUACAUACGAGGCCACGCACGAGGAACAACCUUGGGAACAAGGGGUGUACAGGAGAGUCAGGUUUCGAUCAUGUGGAAUUGUGGGUUAUGGGCCCACCAUGUGGGUUAAAAGUAGAAAGGGCGGUGAUAUUUUGCACAGUCAUGAUAACAAGGCAUGUCAGAGGAUAGCCCGUCAUUUAUGUCAACAAUAACAUCGGUACCAAGGGCGAGGGACGAAGAGAACCAUUUUCCUGCUUGUUGAAUGAGGCGGACCAAUAGGCAAAGUUCUCGUCCAUCGGUGGUUACCGGAAUGCUACCAACAAAAGCAACAGGGUCUUAUUGACACGGUUGUACACCAAGGUGUUUACAUAAGCAGAAGAACAUUACUGCUUAGAUCAUAUAGAUCACCAGAAAGGUUAAACAAAACAAUGGAAUGGAAAAUGUGAUCAUCAGAUUAACAGAACAAUGGAAAAGAACAUGUGUUUAAACACAUAUUUCAAGGGUAUAUCCUUCCCAAGGACAAGCAGAUGAUAUCCAUGACAGGAUAGAAGGUAGAAAACCAUUUAGGAAAGGGAAGAGAACUUUAAAGACAUUACCCAUACAGAGGUGUUUGGAUAAUUGAGCAGGAAACAUUUAACAUUAGGCUUUAAAUGUUCUUGUUGAAAAUAGGAGUACCAUAUAUAUGCUUCGAGAUAGCAUGGACAUGGUCUUCAUGCAAAGGUCAGACUUUGGAAACACAAAGGAUCCAUCAGGAAUAACUUGUAGAAUAAGUCUUACAAUUUCCUCAUGGAAGAAUGGAUAACCUUGCUGAAAAGGAAUCUAUAACCAUAGGGCCUCCAGCCGGGUGUGCUAAGCACGACAUCCUUGAUAUAAAAGAUGGUAAUACUCCAAGGUAAAGAAGACCAAAUGUUGGAUAGCAAGGAACUCAAGGUAUAACACAGAACAUGAACAAGUUUGUGUUGGAGGGAAGGCAAUAAAGUUGUCGAUGAUAACACAAUUCAUCGAGGGGCAAGGAUGGUAUUUCUCAUCAUGAAUUCGAUUGAUAUCCUAGAAGAGCUCAUAAGAUUGAUGAUGAUCAUGACACAAUUGUUGAGAGAUUUCAUGAAGAUGUAAUCGGUCGGCGAUGACAUCAAGUCAAAUGAUGGUGCAGCGAAAGUCAAAUAAUACUUGAAGAAGGACUCAUAAGACGUUAUGCAGUUCCGUGAUAAUCUCGAGAUACCAGAGGGGGUAAUACUCGAUGACAGAUCAAAGUAGAGGUUGGACUGGGGUAUUGCUCUACAGAAGAGAAGCGCUUAAACUUGCACAUGAAAUGGUAUUUAAAGGAGAACAUGGUCGGAACCACGAUUGCAAAAGGCCAGAUCCCAGAUAUGAGAUGAACUUAUACCAAGGGGAUAAUUAAUGUAAGAGAAGCUUCAAUGAUAAGAUCUACAUCGUUUUCAUGGGCAUGAACACAAGGUUCAAGGUCGACUCCCACUUCUUCAAUGUAUAACCUUCCAUUCACUUCUCGCUUUUUGAAAAUGACAUUAGUUGUUGAAAGUUUUACCUGGUGCAAUACCAGAUAAGUAUGACCCGUGAAAUCUUUCGGGUUCACAUGGAUUAGGGAAGGCGUAGGUUCAACCCAUCAGGGCAUCUUAGGAACAUAUACCACAAACUUCGGAGUAAAUAAUACAAGUUCGAAAGUAGAGCAUGGUUCACAAAGCAGAGGAUACAAUUUACCAAAGGCAUUAUGUAUCCAAAGAAAAGCUCACAAUGUUUAAUGAAUAUGAAGGACGAUGUCGAAUAAAAUCCAACAAAGGAUCUAGUGGUCCACAAGGGAUCUAAUGUGAGCAUCGGUACUCAACCAGAGGAAGAAAAAGGUAAGAAGAUCAGACCAUAGAAACAACUGACUAAUUUAAGCUCAAAUGCAACGGAAUUAUGAUUUUUAAAUCAAGGGAUCAGAAGCAACACUCUGAUUAGGGUUGGAUAAGUUGAGUCGCUUUAGGGGUACAAUCAACAACUAUUUGAAUGGUCGAAACCAGCUCAUGUUUGGGAAGACAUCCGAGCCGAAAAGAUAAUUUAUAAGGAUCAACUGAUGAUUGCGUGCAUUCGCACACAUGCUGAAUCAAUAUGGUCAGAAUGUUCAUCACAAGGAUUUUAACGAAUAUUGCUUGACAUAUGGAAUUAACCAUUAUGCAAGCAGGUAAAGAAGAUCAAGAGCAAUAGGCUACUGAGGAUUUCGGAAGAUCGAAUGGCAUUUCGAAGAAUUUUGCGAAAUACCUGAACAACUGGAGAUGAACGAAUCCCCGGCAAAUGCGAGGAAUUAUUCAUACAUGUAUUCAUGAGGAAAAGGAGCCGCAAGACAGUAGACACAAAGGAUCCUCAGAAUAUCCGAAGUAUUUCAGUGUAUAUUGUAAUAACAACAACAACUGGAAAUGAAGUUAUGGACGACAAGUGUAUGUAGCCUUCCAUAGGGAUUUAUCGGUGGUAUGGAAGUGCAACGGCGAAGGGCGCAAGGGUCUCAGGGAAACAUCGGAGAGUAUCUUCAAAAUAUUCUGGUGCAGCCAGCGAUCAUCUGGACUGAAAAGGCUCUCCGGGAGAAAGUAAUUACAAGAACCUAAUGUUAGAGUUUUAGUAAAUUCAUUUAACCCGAAUAGAAGAGAUGUCAGAGUCCCAGAGUAUAGGUCAAGGAAUAAAAGAUCCUACUACCACCCAAUGGCGACGUGGGCCCGUAAGCCGCACAGCCAUGUUAGUAAAAGUUUUGCAAUGACUAGACUCAACUUCGGCCAAAGAGUGUGGAAGGGGGAUUCCUACAGGUAGUCGGCUCUGAUACUAACUUGUGACGCCCCCGAUUCGAUCGUACACUAAUCAUACACGCAAACGUGUACGAUCAAGAUCAGGGACUCAUGGGAAGAUAUCACAACACAACUCUACAAAUAAAAUAAGUCAUACAAGCAUCAUAUUACAAGCCAGGGGCCUCGAGGGCUCGAAUACAAGGGCUCGAUUAUAGACGAGUCAACGGAAGCAACAAUAUCUGAGUACAGACAUAAGUUAAACAAGUUUGCCUUAAGAAGGCUAGCACAAACUGGGAUACAGAUCGAAAGAGGCGCAGGCCUCCUGCCUGGGAUCCUCCUAACUACUCAUGGUCGUCGUCAGCGGGCUGCACGUAGUAGUAGGCACCUCCGGUGUAGUAGGAGUCGUCGUCGACGGUGGCGUCUGGCUCCUAGACUCCAGCAUCUGGUUGCGACAACCAGGUAGAAGGGAAAGGAGGAAAAGAAGGAGAAAGCAACCAUGAGUACUCAUCCCAAAUACUCGCAAGCAAGGAGCUACACUACAUAUGCAUGGGUAUAUGUGUAAAGGCCAUAUCGGUGGACUGAACUGCAGAAUGCCAGAAUAAGAGGGGAUAGCUAAUCCUGUCGAAGACUACGCUUCUGGCAGCCUCCGUCUUGCAGCAUGUAGAAGAGAGUAGAUUGAAGUCCUCCAAGUAGCAUCGCAUAGCAUAACCCUAAACGAUGAUCCUCCGCUCGUCGCCCUGUGAGAGAGCGACCACCGGUAGUAUCUGGCACUUGGAAGGGUGUGUUUUAUUAAGUAUCCGGUUCUAGUUGUCAUAAGGUCAAGGUACAACUCCAAGUCGUCCUGUUACCGAAGAUCACGGCUAUUCGAAUAGAUUAACUUCCCUGCAGGGGUGCACCACAUAACCCAACACGCUCGAUCCCAUUUGGCCGGACACACUUUUCUGGGUCAUGCCCGGCCUCGGAAGAUCAACACGUCGCAGCCCUACCUAGGCACAACAGAGAGGUCAGCACGCCGGUCUAAAUCCUAUGACGCAGGGGUAUGGGCCCAUCGCCCAUUGCAUACCUGCACGUUGCGUACGCGGCCGGAAGCAGAACUAGCCCCCUUAAUACAAGAGCAGGCUUACGGUCCAAUCCGGCGUGCGCCACUCAGUCGCUGACGUCACGAAGGCUUCGACUGAUACCACGACGUCGAGUGCCCAUAACUGUCCCCGCGUAGAUGGUUAGUGCGUAUAGGCCAGUAGCCAGACUCAGAUCAAAUACCAAGAUCUCGUUAAACGUGUUAAGUAUCCGCGAACACCGACCAGGGCCAGGCCCACCUCUCUCCUAGGUGGUCUCAACCUGCCAUGUCGCUCCGCCACAAAGUAACAGUCGGGGGCCAUCGAAAACCCAGGCCCACCUCUACCGGGAUGGAGCCACCUGCCCCUUCAGCCCCCAACUCCGAACAGUAUCACCGGUAAUGUAACGGUGUAAAGUAUAUAGUAUAUGCCCGUGAUCACCUCCCGAAGUGACCACGGCUCAGUAGUAUAGCAUGGUAGACGGACAAGAGUGUAGGGCCACUGAUGGAACACUAGCAUCCUAUACUAAGCAGUAGGAUAGCAGGUAAAGGUAACAAUAGUAGUAGCAAGGGCAGGCUAUGCAACAGUAUAGGAUUAACUGAAAGCAGUAACAUGCUACACUACUCUAAUGCAAGCAGUAUAGAGAAGAAUAGGUGAUAUCUGGUGAUCAAGGGGGGCUUGCCUGGUUGCUCUGGCAAGGAGGGGUUGUCAACAUCGUAGUCGAUCGGGGGUACCGGCAGCGGUCUCGGGUCUACCGGAAAUAAGUAACGGAGGGGGGACACAAUAAAUAACAGAGCAAACAAAGUAACACAAAGCAUAACAUGGAAAUGCGUGGUGUUAGGGGUGACCUAACGAAGUAUGAGGUGAUACCGAUGAAGGGGGGAAACAUCCGAGAAAAUAUCUGAUGUUUCGCUUUUUCGGACAGAUGAAUCGGAGGGGGAAAGUUGCGUGUUCGCUAUGCUAGGGAUGCGCGGCAGACGAAUGGGCUGCGUAUCCGGAUUCGUCUCGUCGUUCUGAGCAACUUUCAUGUACAAAGUAUUUUCAUCCGUGCUAUGGUUAAUUUUAUAUUGAAUUUCAAAGUUUUAAUUGAUUUUCUAAAAUUAUUAUUAUUUCGAAAAUAAACAGUAAAUGCUACGGGUACAUAGAAGUGUACCAACAUUGUGCACAUGUGGCUGACAGAUGGGGCCAUAGGGCCCAGUUGACCAGGUCAAUCGAGACUAGUCAACCAAUGAAUAGUAGAAAUGGGUCCGCAUGUCAUUGACUCUAAGUUUAGUAGUUUAGGAAAUCUUGCUUAAUUAACAGCGGGGCCCAUUUGUCAUAGACUUAGCCGUUUUAGAACAACUAACUAAAGCUAAUAAACAGAGUGGACCACUUGUCAUUUGUUAUUAUACUAAUUGAGCACUAAAGUAUUACUAACUAAACUAAACAAGGGCCGGCCCGGUGGCACAACCGUGAGGCUGGUUGUGCACACACGCACAGACCACACACGACAUGCAACACACUAUGCUAGGUGUUAAUUAUGUUCUCUAUUGACAGAAGAUAGCAAUUUGUGAUUUUCAUAUGAUUUCAUCCAGGCAUCAAAUGGAUUUGGUCCAAUGAACACAUUUGAGCCUUAUCAAGUGUACUACCUACUCAUAUUAUUUUCACACAUACUAACAACUAUUUAACUGGUGAUUAGGGGGUUAAUCAGUGUAAAAUCCCUAAAGCUAGCCAUAUAGCUACACUAAUUAGCAGCAACAGCAGAUUCAGUAGAGCAGCAGGUUGCAGCACAGGCAGCAGUGCUACGAGCAGCAGCAGGUGAUGGUGAGGCCACGCACGGGCGUGCGGGCAAGGGCGCGCUGGGCGCAGGCGGUCGCGGCCAGGACGCGCGAAGCAGGCGUGGGGCGGCUACAGGAUGCAGUCCAAGGACGUGGCCACGGCGGGUGCCAGCAGAGACAGGGCGCGGUGGGCGGCAACGCAGGAAGCGGCGAUGUGUGGGGUUCGCGUGCAUGUGAGGGCCACGACAGGGGCGCAUGACCGCGCGCGGGAGCGGAGCUCCAGCCAUGGCGUCCGAAACACCGGCCGACGAUGAGCAGCGGCAGCAGGACGGUGGGCUCGGUGGAGGCACCGCCACGCGCGGGCGAGCACGCACGGGGACGCGGUCGGGUGCAGCCGGUCAUGGCCAGAGACCAACGGAGCACGGGUGAGGGAGUCGUGCUAGCGGCCAUAGGCUACGACAACAAGCGGAAGAUGCGCUAAUGGACCGAAUCCAACGGGGAAGAGGAGGAGAAGGAGUAGAGGCUCACGAUGUGGCACAAGAAAGGCCGGCGACGGAUUAGUAGUAGCAGGACGGUCGCAGCGGACGAAGCUCGUCGGUGGCCGUAGGUGCGGGGAAGAACCCGAUCCCGAUGGUCGAGGGGGUCCGAGCUCGAUCUUGUGGAUGGGGAGGACGCAGUCGACGAUGUUGGUGCAGACGGACAAGUUGGAGAGGCACGGGGGAGACGGUCGCCGCGGUGGUGGCCAACGACUGCGACGUAGACGCUUGGGUGAGCCAAGAGGACGACGAGGGAGAGAGAGAAGAUGGAUCUGGG
rnacentral:lncRNA from 1 species